AUUGAACGCUGGCGGCAGGCCUAACACAUGCAAGUCGAGCGGGGUUUUCGGACCUAGCGGCGGACGGGUGAGUAAUGCGUAGGAAGCUGCCCGAUAGAGGGGGAUACCAGUUGGAAACGACUGUUAAUACCGCAUAAUGUCUACGGACCAAAGUGUGGGACCUUCGGGCCACAUGCUAUCGGAUGCGCCUACGUGGGAUUAGCUAGGUGGUGAGGUAAUUGCUCACCAAGGCGACGAUCUCUAGCUGGUUUGAGAGGAUGAUCAGCCACACUGGAACUGAGACACGGUCCAGACUCCUACGGGAGGCAGCAGUGGGGAAUAUUGGACAAUGGGCGCAAGCCUGAUCCAGCCAUGCCGCGUGUGUGAAGAAGGCCUUCGGGUUGUAAAGCACUUUCAGCGAGGAGGAAGGGUGGUGUGUUAAUAGCACAUCAUUUUGACGUUACUCGCAGAAGAAGCACCGGCUAACUCUGUGCCAGCAGCCGCAGUAA
rnacentral:rRNA from 1 species